rnacentral:rRNA from 1 species
GACGAACGCUGGCGGCGUGCCUAAUACAUGCAAGUCGAGCGAAGUUUUUCUGGUGCUUGCACUAGAAAAACUUAGCGGCGAACGGGUGAGUAACACGUAAAGAACCUGCCUCAUAGACUGGGACAACUAUUGGAAACGAUAGCUAAUACCGGAUAACAGCAUUAACUGCAUGGUUGAUGUUUAAAAGUUGGUUUUGCUAACACUAUGAGAUGGCUUUGCGGUGCAUUAGCUAGUUGGUGGGGUAAAGGCCUACCAAGGCGACGAUGCAUAGCCGACCUGAGAGGGUGAUCGGCCACACUGGGACUGAGACACGGCCCAGACUCCUACGGGAGGCAGCAGUAGGGAAUCUUCCGCAAUGGGCGAAAGCCUGACGGAGCAACGCCGCGUGAGUGAAGAAGGAUUUCGGUUCGUAAAGCUCUGUUGUUAGGGAAGAAUGAUUGUGUAGUAACUAUACACAGUAGAGACGGUACCUAACCAGAAAGCC